GGAGCUGCUACGGCUUUCCCAGACGGUCUCACUGCACACCUGCGGAAUUCAAAAGCAAACUCUGCCAGCUGGAGUAGGAUAUUUAAGGAACCAGUUAUGAAGAGGAGAGAAGACAACACCAAGGAUUUACAGUGCUAAGGAAAAAUCAUGAACACAACAAAUGACGACUCAGCCAACCCCACCACCUGGCAAGACACUGAAGGUGAUUUUCCCAACUGCACUGAUGUGGAAGUUGGUCUGAAGACUUUGUACCUCCCCAUUAUGUAUAGCAUCAUCUUCCUGGUGGGAUUUCCGGGAAACGUCAUCGCGAUUUGUGUUUACAGCUUCAAGAUGAGGCCUUGGAAGAGCAGCACCAUAAUCAUGCUGAACCUGGCUCUCACAGACCUGCUCUACCUCACCAGCCUUCCCUUCCUGAUACACUACUAUGCCAGCGGGGAGCACUGGAUAUUUGGUGAAUUCAUGUGCAAGUUCAUCCGCUUCGGCUUCCACUUCAACUUGUACAGCAGCAUCCUCUUCCUCACCUGCUUCAGUGCCUUCCGCUAUGUAGUGAUUGUCCACCCUAUGAAGUUCUUCCACAUCCAGAGGAAGCGGUGGACAGUGGUAGUUUGCACAGCCAUUUGGGUGAUCUCACUGGCAGCUGUCAGCCCCGUCCACUUCUUGAUCUCCUUAAAAGAGGCACAAAACAGAUCUUUAUGCCUCGACCUUACCAGCUCUGAAAACCUGGGCACAAUCAGGUGGUAUAACUGGCUGCUGACGAUGUUUGCCUUCUUCUUGCCCUUGCUGACGGUGACUCUGUGCUACGUGCUCAUUAUUUACACCUUGGCUACCGGGCCCCACACGCGGGCUUGCUACAAACAAAAGGCUCGCAGACUCGCUGUCGUCCUCUUGGUGGUCUUCUAUGUGUGCUUCCUCCCCUUUCACGUCUUUCGGGCGGCUCGGGUUGAACUACGGUUGUGUCCAGCCAACUGUCAGCUCGAGAAACAAAUCCACUCCAUCUAUAUCAUCUUUCGGCCACUGGCUGCGCUCAACACAUGUGGAAACCUGCUACUUUAUGUCGUGAUUGGAGGUAACUUCCAGCAGGCUGUCCUCUCUCUUUCAAGGUGUAAGUGCAGCAAAUAUAUCCAGCAGCCCAGGAGCAACAAUUAAGUGGCCAAGUCAGAAAUCGCAUUAAAGUUAUGCAGGAAUCCCUUGAAGAAAAUCCCAGCAAACCCAGGACAGCUUUGCUGCUGUAAGCUCCUGCCAAGGCAGGUGUGGUGAUAUGGCAGCAAGAAUUGCAGCUGGCGUCACCCUCUCCCUGCAGUAGAGCACUUGUCAAAAAGCUGUCUCGGGAGCAGGUUUAUAUAUACCUUUCUUAGCAACCAAAGAAAGAGGAGUGAAAAGAAAAGAUUGUAAGCCACCUCAAAGGUGAAAUUUAAAACCACCCAACCAGACUGUUUCCAAAGACAUUUGGGAAAUGCAGGGUUCUCUUGCUCCGGGGCUUUGUGGUUGAUUACAGAAACAUGGAAAGCUUAGUCUGGACAUGAGAACAACUUCCAUUGAUUUCAGUGUUGUCACUGAUGUAGUGCUUUGUUUAUUACAGCCCGAGCGAAACCGAGUAGAUAUUGUCACGGAUACUGAAGCCACUGAAUUACAUACUUAGAAAGCACCUAGAUAAAUCAGAUGUUUUCAAAUUACAUGGACCUGAUGAACUUCAGCAUAGGGCACUGAGGAACUGGAUGGUGAAAUCUCAGAACUGGCCUAGGAGAGGAUGAGAGGAGUACCAGAGGAGGACAUACAUGGUGAAUUUAAGGAGAUACAGAUAUAUAGAUAUAUAAAAGGAGAUAGAUAUCUAUAUACAUGGGAAAAAUGGAGGAACAAGGAAUUAACAGUCGUGUUAACCUCAGAAAAAUACCGAAACAGACAAUCAGAUGGGAAGUCUACAGAGGAUGAAUACAGGUGACAUGAAGCUGAGAGGACAAAAUUAAGUUGACAAAUUGCAACUACGGGCUGAAAAAACACAGGAUGCAAUUAGGCAGUGACAGAUGCAAAGUUCUGUGUUUAAGUAGAAAUAAUGAACUGUGCAAACACAAAAGGAGAAAAAAACCCCACCUGUUUAGGUAGCAGUUUGGCAGAGAAAGAUCUGUCGUUACUGUGAAUCACAGGCUGGACAGGAGCCGACAGUUUCAGUGGGCUGACAGUGUCUGCUGUGGCAAAAAGGGCAGAUGCAAUGUUGUGAUGUAUAAAAAAGAAUAUGAUGUGCGAGAUGUGUGUAGCAGCCCUUACACCCUUUGCAGCACUGUUCCCCUCCCAGCUGGAACAUCAUGCCCAGCCUUCGAGGCUGACCUUCAGGGGAGACACAGAUGAGAGGAGCAUGGCAAGACCACUCAGUGGAAUGUCCCGAGGGGAAGGAACCGUACAGGAAACCAAAUGGUAUUCAAAUCCCUCAAGGGCAGAUACCAGGAAAGACUUUAUCUCAACGACUGGUGAUGAAGCCCUGGUGAGGACAAGAGAAGCCCCCACAGCCACGUGUCUCUAGGAGCAGGCUAGCCAGACACUGAGCAAGAGGGACACAAGCCUGCCUGCCUUCUGGAGGUCCCUUUUGGCCACAAGGCUUUGCAAUUAGGCAUACACUGCAGAUAGCUUUGGUGCCAGCAAAACAAGCAGUGCCCAGGAGCAUCACCAGCACCAGAGCUUGUCCCACCACGCUGCCAUGGGUCUCCUUGGGCUGGCAGCUGGCCGGAAGUGACCAGCAAAGCCCAGGCACCUGCACUAGCACUGGCACACAGGAGCCUAAGUAGGACAAACCAUGACACCGUAGUGUUUAACAUGCCUUGUGGAUAUCUAAAAUACUUUAUUUGGUAAAGGCUCAACCACCAGAUAUAUCUUUCAGAAGCAGUGCUAUAGGCCUUUUGACAUGUUUUCUAUUUUAGAUUGUCCUCUUCUGUAUCAUUGUUGAAGUCUGAAUUUUACAGGUUGCCACUAGAUGGUGAUCAAUCAUGGUCAAGCUACCUGGUUUCACGUACACAUGGUUGAUUCAAAUCCACAUUUACACAAAUACAGAAGAUGAUUCACAUGAAAUAAAUCUUUUCUGACAUAGAUUCAUAACAUCCCAGCUCUCCAACAUGGCCAAACAUGCACUGCACAAACUCUCUUCCUUUUCCACCUAAGUGAAAGCACAAGAUGUGUCUACCACUUACACAUACACAUCUGGAGCGGAUUAAAAAUUAUCUUUUUUUCCUCUCUCAGAGCAUUUUUAAUUCUUGUUCGCAGAAGCUCUUCCUUCUCAAGCCCAAGCUGAGCUUAUCACAUACAAGCAGAAGCUCUUCAGUACAACUACACAUACAAUAUAAAAUGGAGCAGCUAAAGGUAAAACGUGUGAAAUGGAAGUGUUCAAGGCUUUCCGUCUCUAACGGCAAGAGUGACAGUCCCACGAUUUCAGAGACUUGGAGAGGGGCUACCUUUUUACAUCCUCCUCCUCUCUUCCUAUCUCACCUGCUCAUCCACCACCUCUCUUCAUUCAGUUUGGGGUGAAAUAGCUGAUUUUUAAGUGCCAGACUAGAUUAGGGAAUGAUCCUGGGAGCUGUAGUUUGCCGGUGGGGCAAGAACCUCCAGGAGAAGGGCAGUCACAUCUUCCAGCAGCAUGGCUGGCUCUGGAAAAGGAGAAAAGCUCAAGCUCAGUGAAGGCUUUUUUAAAGCAUUCAAGGACUGCUCAGGUGCUCUGUAGGACUGAGAGAUCAUUAUCUCAUGUGACUCAUUCCUUUUGCGUACUGUGAAGGGUGACAUCUCGAUAGCUUCUAUUUUUAGCAGCUGUUAAGUUUACUGCUGAAACAAAGAUAAGUGCUUCGAUUGCAGUAAACAGGAGACACUUUCCAAGCUCUGUACACAGUGUGACAACACAGCUACAUAAAUUACUACACUAUUGCAGGCUAAUUCACAGCAUAGUUAUGCUCCAGUAACCAGGCUUCUGUCAAAAGUCUCUGGUAGGUUUGUCUGCAAAGACAGUCCUGUCGACUCAAGCACGCUGCUCUCUGCCUGGGACCGCAGAGGGACCAAGAGAAUAGCUUUGCAAGGCACGAGCUAGUUGGCUGCAUCCUAGAGCACUUUCAAGCCAAUUCCUCUGCAUCUGGGAGAAUCCAUAUUUUGUCGGUGGAUCUGUGAUAAGAUAUUUUGGUAUUACCGCAAGAGCACCCAGUGACAUUCUCACAUCACUCCUCCAGUUUUCAAGGACUUCCAUGGUGCCAGCCACUGUGCAAAGCGAUGCCCUGGACCUGCAGCUGACAGGGCUAGAAAACACCUUCUCUGGGGGUGCCUCAAAGGGCAUUCAAGGUAAAGCCUCCUGCUCUGCUCUUGUUACAGACCUGUUAAGCUGGGCAAAAAAGGAGGUGAUGUGGCACAAAGAAGGGAAGCAUUAUGGGUGGAUUUAUUUCCUAGCCCGAAAUGAUCCCACAGGGGCAAUUUUCCACUGAGUGAGGCAGGCUGGCCCAAUCACUUUCGGCCUCAGCAAUAAUGAAGAAGGCCUAGCAGACAGUGGCAUACAAAUCCACUGUGCAACAAUUUCAAGCAAUAAACCUUUUUGAAAAUUCCUUUUUUCCCUUUGCUUCAUCAUGCUUUUUAUCAACGGGAAGUUAUCUUAACAGACAAGGCAGCAGCACCUGCCUACAGGAGUUUCCUCACAUUUACCUUUCUGCUAGUAAGUUGCUCUGAGAUAU